rnacentral:rRNA from 1 species
GGGUUGUGAGGUUAAGCGACUAAGCGUACACGGUGGAUGCCCUGGCAGUCAGAGGCGAUGAAGGGCGUGCUAAUCUGCGAUAAGCGCCGGUAAGGUGAUAUGAACCGUUAUAACCGGCGAUACCCGAAUGGGGAAACCCAGUGUGAUUCGUCACACUAUCAUUAACUGAAUCCAUAGGUUAAUGAGGCGAACCGGGGGAACUGAAACAUCUAAGUACCCCGAGGAAAAGAAAUCAACCGAGAUUCCCCCAGUAGCGGCGAGCGAACGGGGAGGAGCCCAGAGCCUGAAUCAGCAUGUGUGUUAGUGGAAGCGUCUGGAAAGGCGCGCGAUACAGGGUGACAGCCCCGUACACAAAAGCGCAUGUGCUGUGAGCUCGAUGAGUAGGGCGGGACACGUGGUAUCCUGUCUGAAUAUGGGGGGACCAUCCUCCAAGGCUAAAUACUCCUGACUGACCGAUAGUGAACCAGUACCGUGAGGGAAAGGCGAAAAGAACCCCGGCGAGGGGAGUGAAAAAGAACCUGAAACCGUGUACGUACAAGCAGUGGGAGCCCCACCACCAAAGCAUUUGCUGUACCGCGUUGACGGAGCGAAGCGACGUCAAACCGAUAAAACAGCAGUGUAAAGUGAGCCGCAGGGCGCUUUGCGCGACAGCGCAAAGGCAGGCGGUUUCGCGUAGCGAAAGCGAAUGCUUUGGGGUGGGGUGACUGCGUACCUUUUGUAUAAUGGGUCAGCGACUUAUAUUCUGUAGCAAGGUUAACCGAAUAGGGGAGCCGGAGGGAAACCGAGUCUUAAUUGGGCGUUAAGUUGCAGGGUAUAGACCCGAAACCCGGUGAUCUAGCCAUGGGCAGGUUGAAGGUUGGGUAACACUAACUGGAGGACCGAACCGACUAAUGUUGAAAAAUUAGCGGAUGACCUGUGGCUGGGGGUGAAAGGCCAAUCAAACCGGGAGAUAGCUGGUUCUCCCCGAAAGCUAUUUAGGUAGCGCCUCGUGAAUUCAUCUCCGGGGGUAGAGCACUGUUUCGGCUAGGGGGCCAUCCCGGCUUACCAACCCGAUGCAAACUGCGAAUACCGGAGAAUGUUAUCACGGGAGACACACGGCGGGUGCUAACGUCCGUCGUGAAGAGGGAAACAACCCAGACCGCCAGCUAAGGUCCCAAAGUCAUGGUUAAGUGGGAAACGAUGUGGGAAGGCCCAGACAGCCAGGAUGUUGGCUUAGAAGCAGCCAUCAUUUAAAGAAAGCGUAAUAGCUCACUGGUCGAGUCGGCCUGCGCGGAAGAUGUAACGGGGCUAAACCAUGCACCGAAGCUGCGGCAGCGACACUGUGUGUUGUUGGGUAGGGGAGCGUUCUGUAAGCCUGCGAAGGUGGCCUGUGAGGGUUGCUGGAGGUAUCAGAAGUGCGAAUGCUGACAUAAGUAACGAUAAAGCGGGUGAAAAGCCCGCUCGCCGGAAGACCAAGGGUUCCUGUCCAACGUUAAUCGGGGCAGGGUGAGUCGACCCCUAAGGCGAGGCCGAAAGGCGUAGUCGAUGGGAAACGGGUUAAUAUUCCCGUACUUGGUGUUACUGCGAAGGGGGGACGGAGAAGGCUAUGUUGGCCGGGCGACGGUUGUCCCGGUUUAAGCGUGUAGGUGUGUGUUCCAGGUAAAUCCGGUUCACUUUAACACUGAGGCGUGACGACGAGGCACUACGGUGCUGAAGCAACAAAUGCCCUGCUUCCAGGAAAAGCCUCUAAGCAUCAGGUAACAUCAAAUCGUACCCCAAACCGACACAGGUGGUCAGGUAGAGAAUACCAAGGCGCUUGAGAGAACUCGGGUGAAGGAACUAGGCAAAAUGGUGCCGUAACUUCGGGAGAAGGCACGCUGACACGUAGGUGAAGUGAUUUACUCAUGGAGCUGAAGUCAGUCGAAGAUACCAGCUGGCUGCAACUGUUUAUUAAAAACACAGCACUGUGCAAACACGAAAGUGGACGUAUACGGUGUGACGCCUGCCCGGUGCCGGAAGGUUAAUUGAUGGGGUCAGCGCAAGCGAAGCUCCUGAUCGAAGCCCCGGUAAACGGCGGCCGUAACUAUAACGGUCCUAAGGUAGCGAAAUUCCUUGUCGGGUAAGUUCCGACCUGCACGAAUGGCGUAAUGAUGGCCAGGCUGUCUCCACCCGAGACUCAGUGAAAUUGAACUCGCUGUGAAGAUGCAGUGUACCCGCGGCAAGACGGAAAGACCCCGUGAACCUUUACUAUAGCUUGACACUGAACAUUGAGCCUUGAUGUGUAGGAUAGGUGGGAGGCUUUGAAGUGUGGACGCCAGUCUGCAUGGAGCCGACCUUGAAAUACCACCCUUUAAUGUUUGAUGUUCUAACGUGGACCCGUUACCCGGGUUGCGGACAGUGUCUGGUGGGUAGUUUGACUGGGGCGGUCUCCUCCUAAAGAGUAACGGAGGAGCACGAAGGUUGGCUAAUCCUGGUCGGACAUCAGGAGGUUAGUGCAAUGGCAUAAGCCAGCUUGACUGCGAGCGUGACGGCGCGAGCAGGUGCGAAAGCAGGUCAUAGUGAUCCGGUGGUUCUGAAUGGAAGGGCCAUCGCUCAACGGAUAAAAGGUACUCCGGGGAUAACAGGCUGAUACCGCCCAAGAGUUCAUAUCGACGGCGGUGUUUGGCACCUCGAUGUCGGCUCAUCACAUCCUGGGGCUGAAGUAGGUCCCAAGGGUAUGGCUGUUCGCCAUUUAAAGUGGUACGCGAGCUGGGUUUAGAACGUCGUGAGACAGUUCGGUCCCUAUCUGCCGUGGGCGCUGGAGAACUGAGGGGGGCUGCUCCUAGUACGAGAGGACCGGAGUGGACGCAUCACUGGUGUUCGGGUUGUCAUGCCAAUGGCACUGCCCGGUAGCUAAAUGCGGAAGAGAUAAGUGCUGAAAGCAUCUAAGCACGAAACUUGCCCCGAGAUGAGUUCUCCCUGAGACUUAGAGUCUCCUGAAGGAACGUUGAAGACGACGACGUUGAUAGGCCGGGUGUGUAAGCGCAGCGAUGCGUUGAGCUAACCGGUACUAAUGAACCGUGAGGCUUAACCUUACAACGCCGAAG